rnacentral:misc_RNA from 1 species
GAUGAAAACGCAGCGAAAUGCGAUAAGUAGUGUGAAUUGCAGAAUUCAGUGAAUCAUCGAAUCUUUGAACGCACAUUGCGCCCUUUGGUAUUCCUUAGGGCAUGCCUGUUCGAGCGUCAUUUAAACCUUCAAGCUCAGCUUGGUGAUGGGUGACUGUCCUCCCCUCGCGGGGGGACUCGCCUCAAAAACAUUGGCGGCCGGUACAUUGGCUUCGAGCGCAGCAGAAACGCGGUCUCGAGCCCGGUGGAUCGGCUCCCAUAAGUCUAUUCUUUUAUUUUGACCUCGGAUCAGGUAGGGAUACCCGCUGAACUUAAGCAUAUCAAUAAGCGGAGGA